rnacentral:rRNA from 1 species
AUUGAACGCUGGCGGCAUGCUUUACACAUGCAAGUCGAACGGCAGCGCGGGCUUCGGCCUGGCGGCGAGUGGCGAACGGGUGAGUAAUACAUCGGAACGUGCCCAGUAGUGGGGGAUAGCUCGGCGAAAGCCGGAUUAAUACCGCAUACGACCUGAGGGUGAAAGCGGGGGAUCUUCGGACCUCGCGCCAUUGGAGCGGCCGAUGGCAGAUUAGCUAGUUGGUGGGGUAAAGGCCUACCAAGGCGACGAUCUGUAGCUGGUCUGAGAGGACGACCAGCCACACUGGGACUGAGACGCGGCCCAGACUCCUACGGGAGGCAGCAGUGGGGAAUUUUGGACAAUGGGCGAAAGCCUGAUCCAGCAAUGCCGCGUGUGUGAUGAAGGCCUUCGGGUUGUAAAGCACUUUUGGCGGGAACGAAAAGGACUGUGCCAAUACCACGGUUCGAUGACGGUACCCGCAGAAUAAGCACCGGCUAACUACGUG